CUGCCAUGAAAUUAGGAGUUGACGGUGCUUGAGACAGCAUCCGCCCAGUUGAAGGUGCCCGAGGAAUAGUCGGCACAGUAGUGGGCAAUUUUGGUUCGGCCCCGAUAGCAGACUCAGCCUAACCCCCCACCGACGAAACCACAAUUGGCAUCAUCUCAGCUGCAACCGGCAUGAUGGCCAUGACAUCUCCAUCUCUUAUUGAUUCUUCUCCGAUCGGUGGCACAUCAGCUGGAAAAAGCAUUGUUGGAGCUGACAGUGCGAUAAUCGGCUCAGCAUCGAAAACUGCUAUCGAUGGAAUGUUGGUCUUCCGCACUGAUAUUGACUUCGAACCAACUCGACUCUUCUUUGUCAUUCGGGAUGGUCCAGCAUCGAUCGCUGCUCUCUUCUUAGCAGCAUGCUAACGAACAUCGAUCGUCGAGAUUCGCAUCGUCGGAUGCAUAACUGCAAUCAGAAAGCAAAAAGAUUCAGUUAUAGAGUUCAAAGAUAAAUAAAAAACAAAAUGAGUGACAAAACUAAGCGAUACCUAAGGAGGUCACCAGACCCAGUCCGACGUCAUAGA
rnacentral:lncRNA from 1 species